rnacentral:lncRNA from 1 species
CCAGCUCACAGCAAAGCAGACACCUGAAGCAGACGCUGCUCCCCAAAAGCAGCGCACCAAAAGAUGCUGGGGCAGGCACCAUGGGCAAGGCUGUCUCCUUCUGGUCCUGCCGUCCUGCUGCUGGCACUCUGUACUGGAGUGACCACCCAGGACAUCUGCAGCUCUCCAGGAUUUCGGGAGCAUGGAGGUAACAGCCAGGCUCCAGUCCUGUACCUCAACGCUUCCAGUGCCCAGGAGGGGGAAAUAGUGUUGCUUCGAUGUACCAUUGAUGAGCAGUUUCCUGCUACGCGAGUUGUCUUCUGCAAGAAUGGGCUGGAGGAGUUCAGCCUGAAAGCCCAGCAGGGCAGGCUCAUCUACACUAUGGACCUGAACAUCACCUCCAGAAGUGCUGGGACGUACAAGUGUGGGUACCAGCAAAAGAACAAGGAAAACUGGGUGAGGAACUCUGCUCUCAGUGCUCCCCAGACCUUGUCUGUGGCAGGUGCAGGUGCUGGUGAGACCACCACUGAUAUCCAGAGCUCCACAGCUCCACAUGCCCGGAUUCUGCACACCCUCCCCACAGCCAC